rnacentral:lncRNA from 1 species
CUAGGUUCUCAGUUCGAUCCCCGGUACAAAAAAAUAAAUAAAUAAAAAUUUAAAAACUCACCUGCAGCACUUGAAAGUCAACAACCGAAGCAACUCUUUCAAGUCAAUAAUAAUCAAGAGGCCCAAUGAGGAGGGAAAUAUUUGGCACCUUGGUAGAGCUGUUAUUUCAUUCUCACAACGCCGAGGAAGGUGUGACUCACACUCCGCACUUGCUGUAGUACUGUUUUGUAAAAGCUCAGAGGACCCCUCUCGCACUACAGCAGCCGCUCCUAGUUCAGGUCUGUGUCCGCGCCUCCCCACAGCCCCACGCAAAGUCUGGCCUGCAAUUAAGGAGCGUAUGGAAACCACCAAGGCACAGAAACCCGAGAAGAAGCCAAGCCCAGCCAAACCUUCACAGGCCUGUGCGCCCCACAGCGGAAGCCGCGGUCCCAUUCUCACCUCAGCGAGGACCGGAAGUCCGGAAGUCCGGCCGUCCCGGCAGGCCUUGCGAGCCCCGUGUCUGGACUGAACCACAGAGAGGAAGCGUCCUGGGCUCCAUCGUGACAUGGUGGGAAUCCGGGCCUAUUUGGCUCCGCGGAAGAGCCCGCUCACUGAUGCGCGCUUUCCGAAGCAGAGGACUUCAAAACUCUCCGGGUCACUUGCGCCCCAAGCCUGGGUGGCUGCAGACUUUACGUUAUCAGGCGCUUCGGGGUCAAAGGAAAGAGAAUCAAAGGCCUUUAAAACAAAGUCUUUGGGGACAUCUCUAA